UUCCUGCGCGCGCGCGGUUCUCCGGAAUCCUCCUGCGCGCGGCGCUUCCGCCGCCGCACCCCGCCGCUCUCCGCCGCCGCACCUCGCCGGUCUCUCCGGCCCUCCUCCGCAAUCCGACCUGCCGUUUCUGCAGAGCCGGAGCCAGAGCCAGCUCGUGCCCGCCGCCACCGCCCGCCGUCCGUCGCGCCUCCCCGCCGGACCGAAGGCGACUCUCUCUUCCACUUCCAUCUCUCUCAGCGCCUCUUCUAAGAUCUCUUCCCUCCGCGAUUUCGUGUCGCCGCCUCGCCGCCGUGCGACCGUCUCUGGCGCUCCUCUUCUUCAGUGGAAUUCCGUCGGACUGCUUAGCGCAUCAGGAAACCCUCUCCGAUAAGGGAAAUCUCGGAAGAUGGACGUGAUCUCCCAGCUGCAGGAGCAGGUCAACACGAUCGCCUCGGUCGCCUUCAACACCUUUGGCACCCUGCAGAGGGACGCGCCCUCCGUGCGGCUCUCCGCGAGCUAUCCGGAGCCGCCCCCGAUCGCCGCGAACGCCGCGGAGGACGCGUCCGCCUUCGCCGACCAACCCAAGCUGAUGAGCUCUGCUCUCGUCAAAGCCGCCAAGCAGUUUGAUUCCUUAGUAGCAGGACUUCCACUGCCCGAGGGAGGCGAAGAAGCUCAACUCAAAAGGAUUGCGGAGCUUCAGGCUGAGAAUGAUGCUGUAGGACAAGAGCUUCAGAAGCAACUUGAAGCUGCUGAGAAGGAAUUAAAGCUGGUCCAGGAGCUAUUCAGCCAGGCAACAGAUAACUGCUUCAAUUUGAAGAAACCAGAUUAAAAGAUGAGGACACUUCUCUUCUUUACCUUUUCGUUAAAUUUAUGCAGUAGAGAUGAUGACUAAGAGAAAUAGGCAUUCUACGGUUCGAGUAGCGCAAAGUGACGCGAGAUGUUGCGACUCUGUCCCGUUGAAUUUUGCAGUCCUUGCCUAGUAAAAGUUUCUCAGUGCACAAAAAGCAUCGAUAUGGGCAUCAAGUCACCCGAACAAUCACUCAAAUGAAGUUGUUCUGGUCAAUGUAGAUACAGAUAGAGACUCAAGAAGGCAACUUUUGUAGAUGUGAAGUUCAGAAAAUCAGAGUUUCCCAUGUUUGACCGACGAGGGGUAGAGCGGCGGUCGGGGCAGGGGGUUUCUCUGCCGGAAUCGGCUUUGAACACUAGACUCCCAAUAGGCCGAGUGUCGGGUUAUGGCUAGCUGAACCUCUUUAGGGUGCUCUUCAAACAGUCUUCGUGGCCUCAAAUGAAGGGCCCAACCACAAGUCUAGAACUCUCUUGGAGUGUACAUAAACGGCCAAGAAAAUGGUAUAUCGUUUUGUCCAAAGGGGCCAUGUGAAUGACAUCACCCACCUUUAAUCUUAAUUAAGUUUGCUCGCGGAUGUUGUUCUUGACUUGUAAUUCAUCAAUCAAAGACAAAGGUGGAAGGAAAUUUUCUCCAUUCCGGAGGGAAAGUAUCACCUUAUCUGACUAGAAA